UUGGAAACUGUGAGACUCAUCCUUGCAUUGGCUGCUCAAAUGGGUUGGGAAAUCCACCACAUGGAUGUUAAGUCUGCAUUUUUGAAUGGUGAAUUGGAGGAGGAGGUCUAUGUUCAGCAACCACCUGGUUUUAUUGUGCAAGGCAAAGAGGAGAAGGUGUUGAAACUUAGUAAAGCACUGUAUGGGCUGCACCAAGCUCCUCGGGCAUGGAAUGCAAAGUUGGAUAACACAUUAACUAAACUUGGUUUUGAGAAGUGUCCAUCUGAGCAUGCUGUGUACAAGAGAACCGGGCUGUUAGUGGGAGUGUAUGUCGAUGAUCUCAUUAUCACCGGAGAGAAUGCAAAGGACAUUGAGGCUUUCAAAGAGCAGAUGCAAACCAUGUUCAACAUGAGUGACCUUGGCUUGUUGAGUUAUUAUCUUGGAAUAGAGGUAAAGCAAUCAACUCAUGGCAUUUUUAUUUGUCAAUCUGCAUAUGCAUCCAGAAUUCUUGAGAAAUGUGGGAUGGAGAAUUGCAACCCAAUCCAAACACCCAUGGAAAAUAAACUGAAAUUGAGCAAGUCAAGCACUGCACCGGGAGUGGAUAGUACACGCUACCGGAGCAUCGUCGGCAGCCUGAGGUAUUUGGUUCACACCCGACCAGAUAUAUGCUAUGCCGUGGGGAUUGUCAGUUGUUACAUGGAGCGGCCGACGACAGAGCAUAUGGCUGCUGUAAGGCACAUAUUGAGGUAUGUGCGUGGCACACUGCAGUAUGGGUGCAUGUAUAGGAGGGAGCAGAACACCCCGCUGCAGCUGAUCGGUUAUAGUGACAGUGAUCUUGGAGGUGACGUUGAUGACAGAAAAAGCACCAGCGGAACCAUGUUCUAUCUCAGCUCAAGCCCGAUCAGCUGGACAUCACAAAAACAAAAGAUCGUUGCU
rnacentral:rRNA from 1 species